rnacentral:rRNA from 1 species
UGGGGAAUAUUGCACAAUGGGCGCAAGCCUGAUGCAGCCAUGCCGCGUGUGUGAAGAAGGCCUUCGGGUUGUAAAGCACUUUCAGCGAGGAGGAAGGUGGUGAGCUUAAUACGCUCAUCAAUUGACGUUACUCGCAGAAGAAGCACCGGCUAACUCCGUGCCAGCAGCCGCGGUAAUACGGAGGGCGCAAGCGUUAAUCGGAAUUACUGGGCGUAAAGCGCACGCAGGCGGUUUGUUAAGUCAGAUGUGAAAUCCCCGGGCUCAACCUGGGAACUGCAUUUGAAACUGGCAAGCUAGAGUCUCGUAGAGGGGGGUAGAAUUCCAGGUGUAGCGGUGAAAUGCGUAGAGAUCUGGAGGAAUACCGGUGGCGAAGGCGGCCCCCCUGGACGAAGACUGACGCUCAGGUGCGAAAGCGUGGGGCAGCAAACAGGAUUAGAUACCCUGGUAGUCCACGCUGUAAACGAUGUCGAUUUGGAGGUUGUGCCCUUGAGGCGUGGCUUCCGGAGCUAACGCGUUAAAUCGACCGCCUGGGGAGUACGGCCGCAAGGUUAAAACUAAAUGAAUUG